UGUUAUUGUUGAACUGAUUUUCUUUAAUUGAAAUUUCAUUCUCAUGAUGCAGACCAGUUCAGAAUCUUGGGAAAGUUGUGACCUUUUGGAGGUUCUUAAUCCGCAGGGAAAGGAAUUCAUCAAUGGAAGAAGAUAGGUAUACUUGUGCAAGGCCAGGCAGCGAUGUGUGGUGAUCAUUGGGAGAUGGGGAUUUUGAGGAAGAAGAUGUUUGGGCAGUUCCUAAAGAAAGAAAAAAUUCAACUGCUAUCAUCAAAGUUGGCCGAUCCAUUGAAGAAUUAUCAUCUGCUGUUACUGUUAGAAGACACAUCCCAAGUGCUGCAAGGGUGAUCCCAAGAACUUUAUCUGCCAUUAAAAACAGUUCUGGUUCCAGUCCCAGUCGUGAAGCUAAUGGUGUCAAGCAGCUGCAGCAAUCAGCUCCGGUCAGUAUUCCUGAUUGGUCCAAGUUCUCUAGGAAUAACAAGUCAAAGAAGGACUCAUCACGGCAUGAUGAUGAUGCCGAUUACGAUGAUCGUGAUUUUGAUGAUGAUGAUGAAGAAGAAUUCCAUUCGAAAUUGCCACCACAUGAGUUUCUUGCAAAGAGGCAAGCAAGGAGUAGGAUAUCAUCUUUCUCAGUGUUCGAAGGUGUUCGGAGGAAACUCAAAGGGAGGGAUUUGAGGAAAGUGAGGAAUGCUGUCUUAACAAAAACAGGUUUCCUUGAAUGAUGUUUAAGCAUAUAUGUUGAGUCCUCCACAUUGUUGUAAUUUUCAUAAAUUGGUAAAUGUUCAAUUGUGGGAAAUAAUUCAUCCUUUUGUUUUUCAGUGUUUGUAUUUUGUUAGAGUCUAGUGUUUUUGUAUAUAGGGAUUUUGAAUGAAAUCAAUGAUCACUGCCAGAUGAGUUUUAGUUGGAUCAA